rnacentral:tmRNA from 1 species
GGGGGCGUUUCGGUUUCGACGGGAUUGUUGAAGCAAGAGAAGCGGGUAGUGGAUUCUCGUUGGCCACUUAAAAAAACGAGAGAUUAAAUUAAACGCUAACAAUAAUAGUUUAGCUUACGCAGCUUAAUUAUUCCAGCUGCCGUUCUGACCGGGAGGACCACGGCCCGUUCAGAGCGUCGACUCAGUGGUGAACGUGACACGGCAAAGCUUUGAGCCGUGCAUGACAAAAUGAAGCUACUGAAGCUGUAAGCCUGUUCAUGGGCGUACAGCGGAGGGAAUGCUAAAACAUGAACUGCACCCGGAGAUGCUCUUGUGGAUAUGAUUUCGGACGCGGGUUCGACUCCCGCCGCCUCCACCA